rnacentral:rRNA from 1 species
GACGUAGGAUGCAAGCGUUGUCCGGAAUUAUUGGGCGUAAAGCGUUCGUAGGCGGCAUGUCAAGUCUGAUGUUAAAGCCCGGAGCUCAACUCCGGUUCGGCAUUGGAUACUGGCAAGCUAGAGUGCAGGAGAGGCAAAGGGAAUUCCCAGUGUAGCGGUGAAAUGCGUAGAUAUUGGGAGGAACACCGGUGGCGUAAGCGCUUUGCGGGACUGUAACUGACGCUGAGGAACGAAAGCCAGGGGAGCAAACGGG